UGACCUCGGAUCAGGUAGGAAUACCCGCUGAACUUAAGCAUAUCAAUAAGCGGAGGAAAAGAAACCAACAGGGAUUGCCCUAGUAACGGCGAGUGAAGCGGCAACAGCUCAAAUUUGAAAUCUGGCUCUCGGGCCCGAGUUGUAAUUUGUAGAGGAUACUUUUGAUGCGGUGCCUUCCGAGUUCCCUGGAACGGGACGCCAUAGAGGGUGAGAGCCCCGUCUGGUUGGAUGCCAAAUCUCUGUAAAGUUCCUUCAACGAGUCGAGUAGUUUGGGAAUGCUGCUCUAAAUGGGAGGUAUAUGUCUUCUAAAGCUAAAUACCGGCCAGAGACCGAUAGCGCACAAGUAGAGUGAUCGAAAGAUGAAAAGCACUUUGAAAAGAGAGUUAAAAAGUACGUGAAAUUGUUGAAAGGGAAGCGUUUAUGACCAGACUUGGGCUUGGUUAAUCAUCUGGGGUUCUCCCCAGUGCACUUUUCCAGUCCAGGCCAGCAUCAGUUUUCCCCGGGGGAUAAAGGCGGCGGGAAUGUGGCUCUCUUCGGGGAGUGUUAUAGCCCACCGUGUAAUACCCUGGGGGGGACU
rnacentral:rRNA from 1 species